rnacentral:rRNA from 1 species
GCCAGCCCGCUCAGAACUUAAAUGAAUUGAGGGGCCCGCACAAGCGGAGGAGCAUGUGGUUUAAUUCGAUGAUACGCGAGGAACCUUACCUGGGCUUAAAUGCUUAAUGACGUACUGGGAAACUGGUAUUUCUUCGGACAUUUUGCAAGGUGCUGCAUGGUUGUCGUCAGCUCGUGCCGUGAGGUGUCGGGUUAAGUCCCAUAACGAGCGCAACCCCUAUUGUUAGUUGCCAUCAGGUCAUGCUGGGGACUCUAACAAAACUGCCCGCGUAAGCGUGGAGGAAGGUGGGGAUGACGUCAAAUCAGCACGGCCCUUACGUCCAGGGCUACACACGUGCUACAAUGGCCGGUACAGAGGGCAGCCACUUGGUGACAAGGAGCAAAUCUCAAAAGCCGGUCUCAGUUCGGAUCGGAGUCUGCAACUCGACUCCGUGAAGUUGGAUUCGCUAGUAAUCGUAGAUCAGCAAUGCUACGGUGAAUACGUUCCCGGGCCUU